CGGCGUAGGCAGACUCGGAACUCACCUCCUCCCGCGGACACAGCCAAUUUACAACUACUCGUGGAAAAAUUACCCCUGAGACAGAACUGAAAACUGGAUAAGAGGAACUCCUACAACAACGGACAAUCCUAACUGAGGUAGAAGAGGCAGAGACUCCCUUCUGGAGAGGAGAAACGCCGCCUUCACAAGCCGCCAGCUUCACGGCCGCCGGGAGCAGCCCACAGGGUUAAAAGGACAAAGGAACAAAAUAUCCAAGAAGUGUGGAGGAGAAGAGACGGAGAAGGAAAAGAAGGUCUCAGAAGAGCAUUUCUAAGGUCAUCAACUCAGGAGAAACUCACUCCAAUGAACCAAAUGAAGGACCAUUCAAAUCUGCCAUUUAUGCUGUCAAAACAAAAUGUGCAACCCUUCGGUUUUCACCAGCCUUGUCUGUCAGACUGCGAGAGCGACCUGGACCCCAAGCAUGCCUUUCCUCAGAGUCAGUUUGGUACCAGAUGAGGAGAGACAUUGGGCCACGUCCUCAGUUGGAGACUAAAUCAGAUGUUUUACAAAGUUGGAAUCAACGUAACAAUAAUUUAUCUUUAAAAUAUGCUAAGUAAUUGAUAUGGGGGGUUUUGUCCCCAGUGCCACUAAAUGAAGUCAAUAACAUCUCUCAUGCUGGAGUACUUACAAGUGAGAAAUAAUAGCCCUUCCAGAUAAAGCUGUCCCUGGCAGGCCAGGUCACUCUGCAUUCUCAAAGGCGCUUUUUAAAUUCUCCUUGUCUCUUAUGCCAAAAGUUCUUUGUGGACUGUUGGUCUCAUUUUCUCCUCUCUCUAGACAAGCUCUUGGCACCAAGAGGUAGGGCUCUACCUGUGCAUUUCUCUUUGCCAAGGGAGCUGCACUCCUUCAUGAAAUCAAAUAACACAUUCCUGCGGGGAGCCAGCCCUUGAUAAUCUUGUCUUGUCUAUAAUAACAAGAACACCUGACACGCAUACAGAAUUCUGUGUCUUCGAUGAUUGAGAGAAUUGCAGUGAGGCAGCAUGAUGUGGGAGAGAGGAGGGACGUUGGAGCCAGACAGUCCUGAGUCUUGCACUCAGAGGCAUCAUCCAGUGUCUCCAGGUAUUUAACUUCUUAGACUCAUUUUCCUCAUCUGUCACAAAGAAGAUGUAAUACCUUUUGGGUGGUUGUGAAAACUGAAGAUGUGAUCUAUAACAUUCCUGUUGGAUUUGACCCUCAUCUCGUGACACUCUCUCUUGCCUCUAGCAACACAACUUCCUUCAGCCUGAACAUAUGGCUCCUUUCCUUCAUGAAGUCUUUGUACUUGCUGUUCUUUCUUUCAGGAACACCCCUCCUUUCAGUCUUUAGAGCAUCAGUAGCUUCUUAUUCUUCAGGUCUUGGCUUAAAUGUCAGCUCCACAGUGAGAGCUUCCCUGGCCAAUCCACCUGUGUAAGUCUAUGCCUUGCCCUCUCAGCUUGCCGCCCACCCACCCAGGUUAGUUAUUCUCUCUCAUAGCGUCCUGCUCAUUUCCUUUGUAGCAGUUAUUUGUUUAUUUUUAUUGUUAUUACGCUAGACUACCAGCUGCCAACCAUGUCUGUUGUGUUCACUAAUGAACACUCUGCACGAUGCAUAGUGUUUGGCACGCGUAGAUGCUUAAUAAGUAUUGUUGAGUACAUGAAGGAGUAAAUGUUUCUUACAACUUCUUCUCCCCAUAAGUUAAAAUAGGCAUAUUUAUCCCUGUUUUAAGGAGAAGAAACAACGGCUUGGAUAGUUGAAGUGCCUUGGCCAAUUUUACUGUUAUAUGAAAGGGAUUGAGAACUUGAGCCCAGGUCUGCUCGCCUCCAGUCUUUACGUGCUUUCGUUUCCACCAGCGGGUCUCUGUGGGGCAGAGAGAUGAUGCCAAAACCGCAGAAGGCACAUUACCCUGUAUGAUCUGAGAAAGCAUGGUGUGUCUUAUGAUGCAAUUUUAUGUUUAGAAAAUGAAAAAAUAUUGUUUUCAUUAGGUACAUUGUAGAAUAGAAAGCUCUACAUUGUCGUGGCUGGGUGGGCAUGGGUGAACAAGGUUGUUUAUAAAAAGCACAAUCAGCCAUGCAUCCAUGCUCAUGGAAGAAACUGAAGUCACCCUUGACUCCUCCCUUUCCUUAAUCCCCAUCCCCUGUCAAUAACCAGUCCCGUCAUUUACUUCCUAAAUAUGUCUCCAUACCCACUGUUUUUAUUACCCAAGUGGAGGCAACCAUCAUCCUUUGCUGCCUCUUUUUCCCUUCUCACCCCCUGAGGCCCUGCCUGAGCUCUAUUUGCCAGGAAGACAGAACUAUUUUCAGUUUCCCAAACAAGCCACUUUCUCUGUUGACUCCACACUACUGAAAACACUCUGUGAAUACGUGUGGUCACAUAUCGAAAGUACAGGAACGGGCAGGAUUUUAUUUACACUUGCCAACAUGAGGUGUUAUCAUUCUGUAUCAAAUUUGCCAAUUUGAUGGGCAAACUGAGGCACUGCCUAUGGCCUGUCAGAAUUGUGUUUCUCAAACCAUCUGAAGGAUCGUUAAAAACAAAAUUCCAAUCUAUCACAAGCUAAUACUUUUAUAAAAUAGAAUAAAUCAUGAAUUGCUAGAUAAAGAAUUUUAUAAAUCAAAGACACAUACAGUAUAAUAAUUUUUUUU